rnacentral:rRNA from 1 species
UAGGGAAUCUUCGGCAAUGGACGAAAGUCUGACCGAGCAACGCCGCGUGAGUGAAGAAGGUUUUCGGAUCGUAAAACUCUGUUGUUAGAGAAGAACAAGGACGUUAGUAACUGAACGUCCCCUGACGGUAUCUAACCAGAAAGCCACGGCUAACUACGUGCCAGCAGCCGCGGUAAUACGUAGGUGGCAAGCGUUGUCCGGAUUUAUUGGGCGUAAAGCGAGCGCAGGCGGUUUCUUAAGUCUGAUGUGAAAGCCCCCGGCUCAACCGGGGAGGGUCAUUGGAAACUGGGAGACUUGAGUGCAGAAGAGGAGAGUGGAAUUCCAUGUGUAGCGGUGAAAUGCGUAGUUAUAUGGAGGAACACCAGUGGCGAAGGCGGCUAUCUGGUCUGUAACUGACGCUGAGGCUCGAAAGCGUGGGGAGCAAACAGG